UACGUAGGGUCCGAGCGUUGUCCGGAAUUAUUGGGCGUAAAGAGCUCGUAGGCGGUCUGUCACGUCGGCUGUGAAAACACGGGGCUCAACUCCGUGCCUGCAGUCGAUACGGGCAGACUAGAGUUCGGUAGGGGAGACUGGAAUUCCUGGUGUAGCGGUGAAAUGCGCAGAUAUCAGGAGGAACACCGGUGGCGAAGGCGGGUCUCUGGGCCGAAACUGACGCUGAGGAGCGAAAGCGUGGGGAGCGAACAGG
rnacentral:rRNA from 1 species